UACCUAACCAAUCAGAUACAAGUAGUAGAGUAGAUUUUGGUUGUGAAGUAAAUGAUCAAAAAACUUUGUCAUUUCAACCCCAAAAAUAUAUAUUUACCACUUGGUUGUCUAUUGUAUCAUCCUGUCACAGGCCUUCCCAGUCAACACCACCUCAUAAGAUGAGGAAGUACAUUGUUUAUGCUGAGAGUUGUCCAGUUUGCAGCCGAACAUGCAACAUUGAGAAGACCAGCAAGGGGACCCUCAGCAUCACAUAGACAUGCCCUCACUGUGAGCAUUCCUAUAAAUGGAACAGGGUGGACACUAGAAUCAGGGGCCAGGAGCUGAUCUACACUGCCAUGCCCAUCAAUGGGGCACCUCACCUCCAGCCUCACCUCUAUUUCUACAGAUGAAGAGGACUGUAGAUGCCAGCCUCUGUCGUUUGAUGAGGAGACCAUAAUUAGGAGAACUACUUACCAGAGGUGUGGACUCAAGUCACAUGACUUGGACUGGAGUCAGACUCGAGUCACAAAUAUGAUUGUGGACUACAGGAAAAGGAGCACCGAGCACGUCCCCAUUCUCAUCGUCGGGGCUGUAG